rnacentral:misc_RNA from 1 species
GAUGAAGAACGUAGCGAAAUGCGAUAAGUAAUGUGAAUUGCAGAAUUCAGUGAAUCAUCGAAUCUUUGAACGCACAUUGCGCCCCUUGGUAUUCCGAGGGGCAUGCCUGUUCGAGCGUCAUUAUAACCCCUCAAGCUCAGCUUGGUGUUGGGGCCUGCUGCACUGGCAGCCCUUAAAAUCAGUGGCGGCGCCAUCUGGCUCUAAGCGUAGUAAUUCUUCUCGCUAUGGGGUCCUGGUGGAUGCUUGCCAUCAACCCCCAAUUUUUCUAUGGUUGACCUCGGAUCAGGUAGGGAUACCCGCUGAACUUAAGCAUAUCAAUAAGCGGAGGA